rnacentral:rRNA from 1 species
AGUCGAGCGGAGAUGAGGUGCUUGCACCUUAUCUUAGCGGCGGACGGGUGAGUAAUGCUUAGGAAUCUGCCUAUUAGUGGGGGACAACAUUCCGAAAGGGAUGCUAAUACCGCAUACGUCCUACGGGAGAAAGCAGGGGAUCUUCGGACCUUGCGCUAAUAGAUGAGCCUAAGUCGGAUUAGCUAGUUGGUGGGGUAAAGGCCUACCAAGGCGACGAUCUGUAGCGGGUCUGAGAGGAUGAUCCGCCACACUGGGACUGAGACACGGCCCAGACUCCUACGGGAGGCAGCAGUGGGGAAUAUUGGACAAUGGGGGGAACCCUGAUCCAGCCAUGCCGCGUGUGUGAAGAAGGCCUUAUGGUUGUAAAGCACUUUAAGCGAGGAGGAGGCUACUGAGACUAAUACUCUUGGAUAGUGGACGUUACUCGCAGAAUAAGCACCGGCUAACUCUGUGCCAGCAGCCGCGGUAAUACAGAGGGUGCGAGCGUUAAUCGGAUUUACUGGGCGUAAAGCGUGCGUAGGCGGCUUUUUAAGUCGGAUGUGAAAUCCCCGAGCUUAACUUGGGAAUUGCAUUCGAUACUGGGAAGCUAGAGUAUGGGAGAGGAUGGUAGAAUUCCAGGUGUAGCGGUGAAAUGCGUAGAGAUCUGGAGGAAUA